UGUGCAGGCGGGGGGUCAAGUGGUGUAUGAAAUGGCCCGGCUUAACCGGGCAGCGGUAUGCCAGACUGGCCUUCUUGGGUGCGAGAGAGGGGCGUGGAAUUCCGGGUGUAGUGGUGAAAUGCGUAGAGAUCCGGAGGAACCCCAGAGGCGAAGGCGGCGCCCUGGCUCGCAACCGACGCUCAGACACGACAGCAUGGGGAGCGAACGGGAUUAGAAACCCCGGUAGUCCAUGCCGUAAACGAUGCAAACUAGGCGCUGACGGUCUCAACCCCGCCGGUGCCGCAGCUAACGCGUUAAGUUUGCCGCCUGGGGAGUACGGCCGCAAGGCUAAA
rnacentral:rRNA from 1 species